GACGAAGGAUGCAAGCGUUAUCCGGAUUCAUUGGGUUUAAAGGGAGCGUAGGCGGCCUUAUAAGUCAGUGGUGAAAUCUCCGAGCUUAACUCGGAAAUUGCCAUUGAUACUGUAGGGCUUGAGUACAGUUGCUGUGGGCGGAAUAUGACAUGUAGUGGUGAAAUACAUAGAGAUGUCAUAGAACACCGAUGCGAAGGCAGCUACGU
rnacentral:rRNA from 1 species